AAUGGUUGGCCCAUGCCCAUCUCAAAAUCCAACCCUAAACACCACCAAUUUACGGGCAAACAAUAAGCUAAAUUUUGCAGAAAACAGAAUCCCAGAACCGACUCCUCACCAGCCAGACCAGUAACCAUGAAGGUGCGAUCAUCAGUAAAGAAGAUGUGUGAGUUUUGUAAGACAGUUAAGCGUCGUGGACGUUUAUAUGUAAUUUGCUCUUCUAAUCCUAAGCACAAGCAACGACAGGGAAUGUCAACAUUUGCAAAUGAAGGACCAAUCCCAUCCACGUUCAUGGAAACAAAUGCUAGCAGGAGAUUGCACCCAGUCACAGCUUCCAGCCAGGGCUGGCUGCUCUGAUACCCAAAAGACAUGAACCAUCACUGAUAUAUGGAUGGAGGGCCAACCUUGCUCUCUUCUCUUUAAACAGGGAAAAUAGCUCAGAUCUGAAGUAGAAUUAUAUAAGUUUAUAUUAAAUUGAGUUUUUUUAGGCUUUUGAAUAUUGUUUUGCUGUUCAGCCUUAUUUUGUUGUGUUUUAA